AUUGAACGCUGGCGGCAUGCCUUACACAUGCAAGUCGAACGGUAACAGGUUAAGCUGACGAGUGGCGAACGGGUGAGUAAUAUAUCGGAACGUGCCCAGUCGUGGGGGAUAACGUAGCGAAAGCUACGCUAAUACCGCAUACGAUCUACGGAUGAAAGCGGGGGAUCGCAAGACCUCGCGCGAUUGGAGCGGCCGAUAUCAGAUUAGGUUGUUGGUGAGGUAAAAGCUCACCAAGCCUGCGAUCUGUAGCUGGUCUGAGAGGACGACCAGCCCCACUGGAACUGCGACACGGUCCAGACUCCUACGGGAGGCAGCAGUGGGGAAUUUUGGACAAGGGGCGCAAGCCUGAUCCAGCCAUUCCGCGUGAGUGAAGAAGGCCUUCGGGUUGUAAAGCCCUUUCGGUAGGGAAGAAAUCUCUUGCUCUAACACGGCAGGAGUUUGACUUAACCUACAUAAGAAGCACCGGCUAACUCUGUGCCAGCCGCCGCGGUAA
rnacentral:rRNA from 1 species